AGUGAACGCUGGCGGUAGGCCUAACACAUGCGAGUCGAACGGCAGCACAGUAAGAGCUUGCUCUUACGGGUGGCGAGUGGCGGACGGGUGAGGAAUACAUCGGAAUCUACUUUUUCGUGGGGGAUAACGUAGGGAAACUUACGCUAAUACCGCAUACGACCUACGGGUGAAAGCAGGGGAUCUUCGGACCUUGCGCGAUUGAAUGAGCCGAUGUCGGAUAGCUAGUUGGCGGGGUAAAGGCCCACCAAGGCGACGAUCCGUAGCUGGUCUGAGAGGAUGAUCAGCCACACUGGAACUGAGACACGGUCCAGACUCCUACGGGAGGCAGCAGUGGGGAAUAUUGGACAAUGGGCGCAAGCCUGAUCCAGCCAUACCGCGUGGGUGAAGAAGGCCUUCGGGUUGUAAAGCCCUUUUGUUGGGAAAGAAAAGCAGCAGGUUAAUACCCCGCUGUUCUGACGGUACCCAAAGAAUAAGCACCGGCUAACUUCGUG
rnacentral:rRNA from 1 species